GGUUGGGUUUCUCUGGGUCUCAUUUGUCUUCCUUGUGCUUCAGCUGUCUCGAGUGAGAGCUGUGAGGCCGUGGUGUGCCAGGACAUGCUGGGCCAUCCAUCAUGGGCUGUGCUGGCUGCUGGGGCAAGCCCGUGCCGAGCAGAAGCUCCCAGCUGUCCAGAGGGGCUCUGCCUCAUUUGCUUUAUCAGUUUGGAGGCUGCAGCCUUUCCCAUACUGCAUGCAGGCAGAUGCAAGCACAGAACAACUUCUUCCAGCAGGGCAUUGACCCCCUACAAAUGUGACCCCAGGGGGCUUUUCUACAAGAGCUCUGGCUGGGUUUCAGGAGGGUCAUUGCUCUCCUGCUACUAGAACCUCUUCAUUUCUGCCUGGGAAGCAUUCCUCCUGCGCUGGAUCUUGGCCCUUGUAAGGUAUGGCUGGUGGCACUCACACAAGGUUUCUGGGUUUCAGCCAGCUCAUUCUGCUUUCUGGGCCAGUGCUUGAAUGGUCUCAGCCUGCUCAGUAUUGCUUCUUCUCUUCCAACAGAGUGCCAGACUGAGUGGGGAGAUGAAGUAAUUCUUCACCUUCACCAGUCCUGGCAAUUCUGCAAUGCUUUGAUAUGGAUCUGCUACAAAGGGCUUUCUCUGAAAGUCAGGAGUGUGACAGUGGGUACCAGAGCUGGUCUGAAUAGCCUGCAGCUCUGUGUCCCUAAUACACGGGUCACCAGGGACAGCACAGAGUACAACACAAAAAUUCCCAAGCGAGCAUUUUUCUCAGCUGCCUGCAAAGGAGGAAGCCAUGGUGGCUGGAACCGUGGGGGCUUCCCGUGGGGCAAAAGGGUCUGCAUCUUCCUUCCCAGCCUUCCUGUGGGAUAUUUGUGUCCAAGGAUUUCCAGGCAGAGGGUGACAGGGCCAGCAAAAUGUCAUCAGAGAGAGCAGAGCUGCCAAGUGUGCAAAGGGAGCAGAGGACAGGGGAGCUGGGGAACUCUUCAAAGACAAUCCGAUGUACCAGGCUGGUAGUCCUAUUUGGGCACAGCAGCACAGAGUGGAAAGUCCCUGGCUGGCUCUUUUGUGUCUGAUAAGGCAGACUGGC
rnacentral:lncRNA from 1 species